AUGGUCUCCAGGGCUCAGCUCCUCUGCCUUUUGCUGCUCUGGGCCCAAGAAUCCAAUGGGGAUAUUGUACUCACUCAAUCUCCAGAUUUCCUAACAGCCACUCCAGGAGACCAAGUCAAAAUCAACUGCAAAGCCAGUUCCAGUGUUAGCAAUGAUAUGGCCUGGUACCGGCAGAAACCAGGACAAGCUCCCAAGCUCCUCAUCAAUUAUGGAAACAACCGUCCUUCUGGGGUCCCAGACCGGUUCAGCAGCAGUGGAUCAGGAACCAACAUCAUUUUCACCAUCAGCAGGGUAGAAACCGAUGAUGGCGGAGAUUAUUACUGUCAGCAGCAUAACAGCUACCCUUGCACAGUGCUCCAGCCUGCUACAAAAACCUCCCUGGGCUAUUAG